CAUGUGACUAUGGGUCAUGAGACCCUCAUUUCAGAAGGGGUUCUGCCCUGUACUCUGGAAGAAGGAAUACUGCCCAUAGAGGCCAAGAAGAAUCUGAACAGACAGGCCUUACUGGGUUUGGAUCAUACCCUGUUAUUCAAUCACAUCUCUACAUGGCUGUCAAUUAUGCCUAUCCAAUGAAGUCUUCAUAAAAGGCCCAAGAGGACUGGCUUUGGAGAACCUCCAGGUACCUGAAAACAUGGAGGUUCCUAGAGGGUGAUGAACCCAGGGAAGCCUGGAAGCUCUGCACCCCUUCUCACAUGCCUUUCCCUAUGCAUCUCUCCAUCUGUACCCUUUGUAAGAACCUCCAUAAUACGCCAGUACCUGUAAAUGUUUCCCUGAGUUCUGUGAACUGCUCUAGCAAAUUAACUGAACCCGAAGAGGGGGCUGCGGAAACCCCAACUUGAAGCUGAUUGGUCAGAAGUUUCUGGAGGCCUGAACUUGCAACUGGUGUCUGAAGAAAGUCAGGGUGGGGGCACACAGUCUUGUGGGACUGAGCCCUCAACAUGUGGGAUCUGAAGCCAUCUCCAGGAAGAUAGCACCAAAAGUGACUUGAAUUAAAAGACACUCAGCUGGUGUCUGUUUCUUAGGGUAUGGGGGAAAACCCACGCACAUUUGGUCGCAGAAGUCUUCUCUGUUGUGGUGGUGGUGGUGUGAGGAAAAAUGAUUUGAGUUUUUCAAACAAAUAUGUAAAGAGUUUGGAAGUCAUCACUCCCAUCCUUACAACAAGAAAAGAUGCUGUACAGACUAAAUUUCAGCAAUUCUUCUCAGAACCAUCAGAGAACUUAGGUCACAGAGCAAACUCCCACAUCAAAAGCUGGAGAGACAGGUGAAUCACAGCUUACUAGGAGCAGAAGCUGACAGAGAUGAAGCCUGUGGGAACAUUUAAACUGUAACUGACUAAGUGCUGGAGGUUGAGUGUGGACCAGCCUGCGAGUUAAAAACUAUUAUGGGCUCAAUCUCAGGCACACCGUCCCACCCCCCUGCCCUCCCGCCCCUGAUACUUUCAUGAGUUUUCCUCCGGAAGUCCCAUUAGGUUCUUACAAUGAAGAACACAGGAAAAUCUCCUCAUGUGUAGGGCAGGUGGAGAGAAGAAGUAACCACUUUGAAAUAAGCCCAGAAACUUCUGUUCUCCAUAACAAAAUGCUUCUCUCAAAAGAAACUACUUUGUUAAAGCCUUAUCUGAUCUUGUGGAAGGACAAUAAGCAAUUAAGCCACUUUUAGCUUCCUAUCUCAUAUAAAGGGAGGGAAAAAAGCUAAAACUCUUCCCAAAGUCACAAGCCAGGGACAAAGAGAGAGAAAAAGAAAGAAAGAGAGAAAGAAAAGAAAGGAGGAAAGAAAAGAGGAAAGAAAGAGAAAGAAAGAAAGAAAGAAAGAAAGAAAGAAAGAAAGAAAGGGAAAGAGACAAAGGAAAGAAAGAAAGAGAAAGAAAAGAAACAAAGAAAAAAGAGGAAAGGAAAAGGAAAGGAAAGGAAGAAAGAAAGAGGAAAGGAAAAGAAAGGAAGAAAGAGAGAGGAAAGGACGAAAGAAAGAGGAAAGGAAGAAAGAAAGAGGAAAGGAAAGGAAAGGAAGAAAGAAAGAGGAAAGGAAAGAAAGAAAGAAAGAAAGAAAGAAAGAAAGAAAGAAAGAAAGAAAAGGAAGGCUGAAUCAUGAUUAUACAAUGCUGCUUCUCCAUAAUACCUUACCACCACAUCAAUAGGGUUCCAGUAUAGUAACAGUAGAUUAUAACAGAGAUAUAAAAGACACAAGCUCUAUUAAAGAAGGAGACUCUAGGGAAACCCAAAGGCAACAGGAAAGACAAAAACAAGAACACUAGAGAAACUGAAGUCUCUGACACUUUAUAACUACAGCAAACAUUAAACACAGCCUAGCCAGAUAAACAUAAAGCCUCAAACUAAAGGCCCAUUUACUUCAGCUCCUAUUACCCAAUACGUUAUGUUCAGCAUUCAACAAAAAAAUUACAAAGCAGAAAAAAAGGCAAGAAAGCUUACAGUUUGAAUAGGCAAAGCAAGCAUUAGAACCAGACUCAGACAUGGCAGAGAUUUGGGUAUUCUCAGGCAGAUAUUUUAAAUAAUUAUGAUUAAUAUGCUAAGUGCUCUAAAGGAAAACGUGAACUACAUGCAAAAACAGAUGAGUAACUAAUUGAUCGCAACCAGUUACAGAUUUCUUUGUUCCUUCUCCAUUCCUACUGCUUUAUUUGACUACCAUUUAAAAAAUAAUAAUUAAAAAAACCAGACGGAUGAGAAGAAAAGAAAGGAAGCUGGGUGUGGUAGCUCACACCUGUAAUCUAAGCACUUUGGAGGUCGAGGCAGGAGGAUCACUUGAGGCCAGCAGUUUGAGAACUAGCCUGAGCAACAGAGUGAGACUGUCUCUACAAACAAUUAAAACAAAAAUUUUUCAAGUAAAAAGGAACGAAGAAAGAGAUGGAGAAAAGGAGAAAGGAAGGAAGAAGAGAGAAAGAAAGGGAGAAAGAAAAUAAAGAAAAUUCAAGGCCAGGUAAGGUGGCUCAUACCUGUAAUCACAACAUUUUGGGAGACUGAGGCAGGUGGAUGGCUUGAGCUCAGGAGUUUGAGAUCAGCCUGGGAAACAUGGUGAAACUCUGUCUCUACCAAAAAUUAAAAAAAAUUUGCCAGGCAUAGUGGUGCACGCCUGUAGUCCCAGCUACUUGGGGGAGGCUGAGGCAGGAGUAUUGCUUCAACUUGGGAGGUCAAGGCUAUAGUGAUCUGAGAUGGCACUACUGCGCUCCAGCCUGGGUGACAAAGUGAGACGUGUCUCAAUAAAUAAAUAAGUAAGAAAAUUCAAGCUGGGCACGGUGGCUCAUGCCUAUAAUCCCAGCACUUUUGGAGGCUGAGGUGGGUGGAUCACCUGAGGUCAGGAGUUCGCGAUCAGCCUGACCAACAUGCAGAAACCCCGACUCUACCAAAAAAUACAAAAUUAGCUGGGCGUGGUGGCACAUGCCUGUAAUCCCAACUACUCGGGAGGCUGAGGCAGAAGAAUCACUUGAACCCAAGAGGUGGAGGCGGCGGUAAGCCGAGAUAGCGCCAUUGUGCUCCAGCCUGGGGAAUAAGAGUGAAACUCCAUCUAAAAAAAAAAAAAAAAGAAAGAAAGAAAGAAAAAGAAAAUUCAAUUUGGGAAAAACAAACGAAAACAGAUGGGUAAAGUAGGCAGAAAGAUGAAAACCCUAAGAAAGAAUCAAAAGGAAAUGUUAGAAAUAAAAAAAACACUGUAAUCUUUUUGUAAUUCCUAAGCAUGAUGGUUGAUUCGGCUCUCACACUUGAUGAUUGGGCUUUCACUUGGAUCUGUGAGAUGUGCCUCCCUCAACCCUUCCUGCGAAGUCAGCACAUUACCUGACAGAAAUGAAAAGGGAAAAAUAAAUAUAAAACAUUGUAACAAACAUGAAGAAUGCUUUUGAUGGGUUCGUAGUUGGACUGUUCACAGCCGAAGAAUCAAUGAGGUUGAAGAUACUGAUACAACCUUCCAAAACUGCAAUGCAAAGAGUGAAAUAAAUAAAUAGAUAAAACCCCAAAUAUUCAAGAACUGUGGGACAAUUACAAAAGGUGUAACACGGGAAAUGGGAACACUAGAAGGAGAAGAGAAAGAAGCAAAAUAUGUACAGAGGCCUUUUUUUUUCUUUUUUGACACCCGGAUCUCACUCUGUUGCCCAAGCUGGAGUUCAGUGGCAUGAUCAUGGUUCACUGCAGCCUCCACCUCCCGGGCUUUAGCAAUCCUCCCACCUCAGUCCCCAAGUAGCUGGACAGGCGUGUGCCACCACACCCUGACAAUUUGUAUAUAUUUUGUAAAGAUGGGGUUUUGCCACAUUGUCUAGGCUAGUCUCAAACUCCUGGACUCAAGCAAUCUGCCUGCCUCAGCCUCCCAGAGUGCUAGGAUUACAGGCGUGAGCCACCACACCUAGCCUAAAAGAAAAAUCUAAAGUACUAAUGGCUGAGAAAUGUCUGGAAUUAAUGAUAGACACCAAGCCACAGAGAACACCAAGCAAGAUAAGUAGCAAAAAUCUGUACCUGCAGGAAACAAGACAACUAAAAAAGCCAAAGGAAAACAAUUCCUUACCUAUAGAGGAACAAGGAUAAAGAUUAUGUUAGACUUUCUUUCAGAAACCACAAAAGCAAGGCCGGGUAUGGUGGCACACGCCUGUAGUUCCAUCUACUCCGGACGUUGAGGCAGGAGGAUUGCUUGGAUCAUUUAAGUCCAAGAGUUCAAGGCUGUAGUGAGCUAUGACUGCAUCACUGCACUCCAGUCUGGGCAACAGAAUGAAACCUUGUCUCCAAAUUGAAGAAGAGAGAGAAGAGAAGAAGAGAAGAGGGGAGGAAAGGAGAGGAGAGGAGAAGAGAAGAGAAGGGAGGAGAAGAGUAGCGAAGAGAAACCACAUGCCUGGGUGCAGUGGCUCACGCCUGUAAUC
rnacentral:lncRNA from 1 species